rnacentral:rRNA from 1 species
UACGGGGGGAGCAAGCGUUGUUCGGAUUUACUGGGCGUAAAGGGCGCGUAGGCGGCGCGACAAGUCACUUGUGAAAUCUCUGGGCUCAACCCAGAACGGUCAAGUGAUACUGUCGUGCUAGAGUGCGGAAGGGGCAACUGGAAUUCUCGGUGUAGCGGUGAAAUGCGUAGAUAUCGAGAGGAACACCUGCGGCGAAGGCGGGUUGCUGGGCUGAUACUGACGCUGAGGCGCGAAAGCCAGGGGAGCGAACGGG